CUGCGUUAGGGAUGGUAGCGGCAUCCUUUUGUUUUUUUUCUUUAAAAAAACAAAAGAUAAAGCCGAAAGCCCGACCCUUG
rfam:Flavobacterium branchiophilum FL-15, complete genome.